rnacentral:rRNA from 1 species
CACGUAGGGUGCGAGCGUUGUCCGGAAUUAUUGGGCGUAAAGAGCUCGUAGGCGGUGUGUCGCGUCGGCCGUGAAAACCUGCAGCUUAACUGUGGGCGUGCGGUCGAUACGGGCAUCACUGGAGUUCGGCAGGGGAGACUGGAAUUCUCGGUGUAGCAGUGAAAUGCGUAGAUAUCGAGAGGAACACCAGUGGCGAAGGCGAGUCCCUGGACAACACCUGACACUGAGGCACGAAAGCCGGGGGAGCAAACAGG